AAGUCGAGGGGUAACGGGGAAGCUUGCUUCCGCCGACGACCGGCGCACGGGUGCGUAACGCGUAUACAAUCUACCUUGUACUGGGGUAUAGCCUUUAGAAAUGAAGAUUAACCCCCCAUAGUCUCUUAGAGUGGCAUCACUUCUAGAGUAAAGGUUACGGUAUAAGAUGAGUAUGCGUUCUAUUAGUUCGUUGGUGUGGUAACGGCACACCAAGACUACGAUAGAUAGGGGCCCUGAGAGGGGGAUCCCCCACACUGGUACUGAGACACGGACCAGACUCCUACGGGAGGCAGCAGUGAGGAAUAUUGGACAAUGGAGGCAACUCUGAUCCAGCCAUGCCGCGUGCAGGAAGACUGCCCUAUGGGUUGUAAACUGCUUUUAUACAGGAAGAAACACCUCUACGUGUAGAGGCUUGACGGUACUGUAAGAAUAAGGAUCGGCUAACUCCGUGCCAGCAGCCGCGGUAAUACGGAGGAUCCAAGCGUUAUCCGGAAUCAUUGGGUUUGAAGGGUCCGUAGGUGGAUAAUUAAGUCAGAGGUGAAAUCUUGCAGCUCAACUGUAAAAUUGCCUUUGAAACUGGUUAUCUUGAGUUAUUAUGAAGUAGUUAGAAUAUGUAGUGUAGCGGUGAAAUGCAUAGAUAUUACAUAGAA
rnacentral:rRNA from 1 species